ACUCCCACUUGUUCUCUCUUUCCUCUCCUUCUCUCUCUCUUUCUCUUUCGCGUGUGGUGGGUUUGCAAAAACAAGCAUACGGAGAUCCCCAGUAGUAGCAGCCCGGUACGCAGAGCAGACGAGAACGUCAAACCGGUCGGCACUCGCGUUCAGGAUCCCAUAAAAAAAAGAAAGAAACGAUCAUCGUCAGAUCUAUGUUGCGAAAAUCAUUGUGUGUUUCUCUUUGUACGUUUUAACCUUAAUAGACAACGUCAUAGCAGAAACUGUAUCCUACCACGUCACCUCACGUGUCACCUACGCGUGAUAACACACGUCGUAUUAACUUAAAUAUUCUACGUCUUACGUUGGACAAGGACACACUUCGUUGGAAUAACAAGAGAGAGAGAGAGAAAGAGAGAGAGAGAGAGAGAGAGAGAGAGAGAGGGAGAGAGACAGAACAAAAAAUUCUCUUUUAUUGUUCUUUUAUUGUUUUUUUUUUUUUUUUUUUGAAGAUGAGAGAUAAAGAUUGAAAUUAGAAUAAAUUUAUUCUCGAAGACUUGUCACCGUCGGAUUAAUCAUGCUACGUGAACAUUGUCUACCUUCCUUCUCUUUUCUUUCUUUAUUUAUUUUUUCAAAAGAAAACAGAGAAAAUGAAAGAGAGAGUGAGAGAGAGAAGAAAAGGGGGAGGCAUUGAUUUAAAAGAAAUGACGUCGAGUAGAAAUUGAACGAGCGAUUUUUAAAGGAAAUGAUUUUUAAGUGAUGAUUGGCGUUCAGUGAAUUUACACAUGUCAAAAGUUCUUCAGUGAUUCAAUGAUGAUCAUCACAAGUGUGUUAUUAACGUUCAAUAUUUCUAGAAACAAAUUGGUGUGUUAUAACAAAUUAAAAACAAUGAGCAAGAAAUAAACAAUAUGAGAGCAUAAUAAUUCCUGUCGGGAAAGUAAAUUUAAAAAAAUAAAAAAAAUAAUUACAAAAAUAAUAAUAAUAAUAAUAAUAAAAAUAACAAUAAUAUAUUAAUGAUGAUAAUAAAAUAAUAACGUAAUCAUAUAAGUGACCAUUAAUGUAUGUUAUUAGAGAAUAACAUUUCCUCUAAUUUCGUGUUGAUGAUUUAACUUACAAACACACAUAUGUAUUGUACAUAUGCAUACGACAUAAAUACGUAUACACAUAUGUAUAUAUAUAUAUAUACAUAUAUAUAUAUAUAUAUAUGCAUAUGUACGUGAAGAUAUAUGCGUGCACUUAAGUACACAGUCGUAGAUAAUCGUGUAUCCUGAUUGUCGUGUAUAUCCCUGUAACUCGUGCGCUAACAGGAAGGCUCCGUGUUUGUCACGUUUUCGACUAGAGGAGGGUGAGUUUGGGGAGGUGGAGGGGUGGCGGUGUGGGUGCGCUUGAAGAGGGGUUGGUUGAAUCGGCGCGGAGCGUGUUUCGGACAAUACAGAUUAUUCCGUGCACGAAGAUUACUGGAUGCACUGUGAGUACCAGACAAGCAACAGUAUAGGAUAUAUUACGAAAAGGGUUGCCACACAAUCGAGGGUGGUUUGUGUAGGUGUUUUUUAGUGUUUGAAAAAAGAAGAGGAUUUGCAACAACCUUCGUCUCUCAGUCAUUUAUCCACAAAAGCAGUCGUGUCACCGGAUUCUCCGAGUGUAUGAAGUGCAAGAAAUCUGGAGGAUUUAAAGGAUUCGAGAGAGUUGAUUAGCUAAUCUGUAGACAGCCAUCAUCGUGACAAGGGUGAGACACUUGCAUAUAUAUAAACCUAAUCUUCAGAAUAUAUUCUAAAACUCGUAAAUAGGUAUAUUUAAAACACGUAUUUCAUUUAUUAAAUAUUUAUAUAUAUAUGGAUAAAGAUCAAGACUAAUUCAUAUAUAUAUAAUAAUAUUUAACAAUAUAAAUUCAUUCAACAAUUACCAUUGAGAAUCGUCAUAAUUUUAUUAUUAACAACAUUUUAUACGAUAAAAAAAAAGAAAAGAAAAAGAGAAUAAAAUGUUUAGAACUAUCGUGAACUAACCGCAGGCUUUCGAAUUUUCUAGAACGAGUUUGUUGAACCUUCAGGCCUUUCUCUCAAAAUUGAACACGAUCUCUUUAUUUCUAG
rnacentral:lncRNA from 1 species